rnacentral:tRNA from 1 species
GGAGGCUUUAGCUUAAUUAAAGUGUUUGAUUUGCAUUCAGAAGAUGUAUAAUAAUAUUAUACAAGUCUUA